CAGACUCCAAACAAAGACAGACAGAGUGAAUACAUGCCAAGUAAGAAAGGUUUUGAGGCUGGAGAAGGAUUUAAUAACCCUGCGGGGUCAAGAGGUGAGAAGUGGCAAUCUAUCUCAUGUGAUGGGGCAGGAGAAGAAGACACAACCCUGAUGAUUCAUCUGGCCACCUCCAACUCAGCAGUGGGGAGGAGGUAAAAGAAGGCCAGAGGCACUUGUUCUUUAUUCCAUUUACCAUUUACUGGACGCCAACUGUGUGCAAGGAACGUUGCCCAGGGAGGAUUCAGAGAUGGCUGGGAGAUGUGAGAGUUUCUGACCAAAGGAGAUCAGACAGAUCUGCAAACAGAUGGAUACCAGAAGAACACACAGGGGCCAAAGUAAGGGAGUUACAAGAGUUCAAAGGACAAGGGAGACACAACUGCCUAGGAAGACAGGUGGAAACAACUUUAGGAACUGGCAUUGUGACCAGAUUCUGAAACACAGGCAAACCAGGAGCUGUGGACAGAGGAAGCAGCAGGCAUUUCUCAUGCCUGUCUGUCAGGGAAGCGGGCCCAUGGCUCAGAAUUAGAAAAGGCCCAUCUUCAUCCAGUCUCCCACUUCACCACCCAGCAUUCAACACCAUGGUGAAGCCAAGAGGCUCGUACUAAGUGGCAGAUGACCCUUUUUUCCCGUGUUCUCUGAUGUCCAGUGUGCCCCAGCACAGACAAGAAUGAAACCCAGACGAUGAUACUGACAGCUUCAAUCUUACCUUUACAGACCGACACGAAAUCAAAUAUACUGUCGGCCCCAAUAAACUCUCUUGUCGAAAGACCUUUUCUCUCUAA